CUCGGAAGAUGUUGUGAAGCUAAAGAGUACUGAGUUCUCUGAAAUAUUUUCUCUUAAAUAUCUACUUUAUGAAAAUCACAAUGUAAAUCUUGAAUGUAGAUCAUUGUGUACGAUCUCAAGGGCCCUUAUUUAAAACCAUCAUGGCGACUGCACGUAGCUCCACAUCCUCCAAAGGAACAACGCCAGUUUCUCCUUUGUCGCCACGUCAUGGAAACUCUAAGACAAUUUCUUGGGAUGCUGAAGUGGACAGUGAUGCACUCUUUUCCAAUCAUACAGUUGAAGAGAUUCGAGCAGUUGAACAUAAAACAAGGGGUGACAUUGAACAAAAGAAGGAAGAUCUGCGUCUCAUGGUUGGGUAAGUUA